UUUUGUUUAAGUUUAAAGAAUUUUGCUGAAAGGAAAUGUUUAACACAUAAAAAAUAAAGUGUAAUAAACUUUAGGGAGGUUGCCAAAAAUUUUUGGAUCCGAUCCAAGUAUCGAUGAUAUUUUAUAGAAAUUGGUGUUAAAGCAACGGCAUUGUUCUUGACCUUCAUACUAUCAAAUUUUUUAAAUAUAGAACUAUGUUCUUAAAUUAAAUGAAAUAAAAAAGUGUUCAAGGAACACAGGAAUGUUAUUUCAGACGGAGGAUAUCCUUGCUUUUCCAUAUUAUUUAUAGCACUCCCGAUAAGUAAACGACGCCAUCUGCGUUGAGCAUAAGACGAAAUUGAAAUUAAAUUUUUGUUCCCUCGAACACUUUGGGCAAUGAUUGUCCCAAAUCGUUAAAUGCUCACAACUUCGCCAAUAAAGGUCGUUGCCAAGUGGUUUGUAAGCGUAAUUGGUAUGACCAGGUGUAUUCAUUAUGGCCAAGUAAAUAAUUACGUUGACACUGAGAAUCUUUUAACAAUCAAAAUAGUAGAUGAGUUAUGUUAUGAUGUAGGUAUAAAUUAAAACACUAAAUGGAAUCUUUUUAAAUUAUUGCGUUAAAUGUAACCAUUUAUUUUUUUAAAAUUGAGUUGUAAAAUACAAAUAGAAUCUCCUUCUAUGGGGUAUACUAAAUCAUGAAUCUCCUUUGGUCUGAAAUGUGUAAUGUGGUGAUUCAGUCAACGGACGGUUAGUUAUUUUUAGAAGUACGCUACACUCCGCCUGACAACACAAACAAUUGCGUGUCCAACGCGUGUGGCAAAGCUCAUAUUGGGUCGAUUUGUCACACAGCUUUUGCUCACACCAGACUGCUUGAAUAUCCCCACCAUUUUCACCUUUCAGUAUGGAAGCGUUCGUCUAUUUUGUGUUUAGUAUUCUUUGAAGCUCGGAGAAGUGCAGGUGUAAAGUGGAUUUUGGGGUGCAAAUUGUGAUAAAGUAAUGUUUGGCCGUUUUAAACUCUAAAAGGAUAUUAAUUCUUUCUGCGUUUAAAACGGCCAAUUAUCGAACAGAAUAGACUUGAUCCUAUCUUAAGAAAAUUAAUUAAGUUACUGUGUUGGGUUCCAAGUGAGAAUAAAAUUUGUAUUGUAAUAAGGGGACGAAAAUAAAGUAAAGCCUAAUAAAACUCAUUUAAAUAUAAUUUCGUGAUUUACAUCGGUCUGAUUUUUUUGAGCCAGUUCCAAAAUAAGACGGACAGCUUCAGGUGAUUCACUGGAUGUGUGUGAAAAAUUUCCGCAAAAAUCCUUGUGAAUAUAAGGUACGGCUUCUGUGCUAAAUUUAGCCGGUCCAGUAAUGUAAUACACACGCCGAACCAAAAUAGUUUACGCUAAUACUAGUUCUAGGAGUUCUCGCUGCACACGGCACCAAACGCUCACAACUCGCUUUUUCGUUUUUCUGUUUGAAAAUAGAAUAUCUAGAUCGUGACGUCGACAUACGACAAUCACAAGGGAGAAAAGGGGGACGUAUUCUUUAAGGAAAAAUAAAGACUUUUUAUGGUU